CCUACGGGGGACAGCAGUAGGGAAUUUUCGUCAAUGGGCGCAAGCCUGAACGAGCAAUGCCGCGUGAACGAGGAAGGUCUUCGGAUCGUAAAGUUCUGUUGAAGGGGAAAAAGAGCGGAGAGAGGAAAUGGUCUCCGAUUGAUAUUACCCUUCGAGGAAGUCACGGCUAACUACGUGCCAGCAGCCGCGGUAAUACGUAGGUGGCGAGCGUUAUCCGGAAUGAUUGGGCGUAAAGGGUGCGUAGGCGGCCUGCUAAGUCUGGAGUGAAAGGUACCGGCUCAACCGGUACAGGCUCUGGAAACUGGCGGGCUAGAGAGCAGGAGAGGGCGGUGGAACCCAAUGUGUAGCGGUAAAAUGCGUAGAUAUAUGGAAGAACACCAGUGGCGAAGGCGGCCGCCUGGCCUGUUGACUGACGCUGAGGCACGAAAGCGUGGGGAGCAAAUAGGAUUAGAUACCCUGGUAGUC
rnacentral:rRNA from 1 species